GGUGGGGUUCCCGAGCGGCCAAAGGGAGCAGACUGUAAAUCUGCCGUCAUCGACUUCGAAGGUUCGAAUUCUUCCCCCACCACCA
rnacentral:tRNA from 4 species